GAUGAACGCUGGCGGCGUGCCUAAUACAUGCAAGUCGAGCGAAUGGAUUAAGAGCUUGCUCUUAUGAAGUUAGCGGCGGACGGGUGAGUAACACGUGGGUAACCUGCCCAUAAGACUGGGAUAACUCCGGGAGACCGGGGCUAAUACCGGAUAACAUUUUGAACCGCAUGGUUCGAAAUUGAAAGGCGGCUUCGGCUGUCACUUAUGGAUGGACCCGCGUCGCAUUAGCUAGUUGGUGAGGUAACGGCUCACCAAGGCAACGAUGCGUAGCCGACCUGAGAGGGUGAUCGGCCACACUGGGACUGAGACACGGCCAAGACUCCUCCGGGAGGCAGCAGUAGGGAAUCUUCCGCAAUGGACGAAAGUCUGACGGAGCAACGCCGCGUGAGUGAUGAAGGCCUUCGGGUCGUAAAACUCUGUUGUUAGGGAAGAACAAGUGCUAGUUGAAUAAGCUGGCACCUUGACGGUACCUAACCAGAAAGCCACGGCUAACUACGUGCCAGCCGCCGCCGUAA
rnacentral:rRNA from 1 species